UUGGCCCAGAAUCAAGUCUAGCAUUUUUCUGAAGCUGUUGGUUUUAAGCAGGAGCCUAAAUAAAUAUCUUUCUAUGGUCUGUUGGACAUUUCAGAAAUUUGGAAAUGUCAUGAUCCAUUCUUUAGAAAGUAAUGUCU
ensembl:snoRNA